rnacentral:rRNA from 1 species
CCUACGGGAGGCAGCAGUGGGGAAUCUUGCGCAAUGGGCGAAAGCCUGACGCAGCAACGCCGCGUGAGCGAUGAAGGCCUUCGGGUUGUAAAGCUCUGUCACGCAGGGACGAAGUCUUAAAGAGCGAAUAGUCUUUAAGGUUGACGGUACCUGAGGGAGGAAGCCCCGGCUAAUUACGUGCCAGCAGCCGCGGUAAAACGUAGGGGGCGAGCGUUGUCCGGAAUUACUGGGCGUAAAGGGCGUGUAGGCGGUCAGGCAAGUCAGAUGUGAAAAACCCCGGCUCAACCGGGGGUAGUGCAUUUGAAACUGUCAGGCUUGAGGGCAGGAGAGGAGAGUGGAAUUCCCGGUGUAGCGGUGGAAUGCGUAGAUAUCAGGAAGAACACCGGUGGCGAAGGCGGCUCUCUGGCCCGUCCCUGACGCUGAGGCGCGAAAGCGUGGGGAGCAAACAGGAUUAGAUACCCUGGUAGUCCACGCCGUAAACGAUGGGUACUAGGUGUAGGAGGUAUCGACCCCUUCUGUGCCGCAGUAAACACAAUAAGUACCCCGCCUGGGGAGUACGGCCGCAAGGCUGAAACUCAAAGGAAUUGACGG